UACGUAGGGUGCAAGCGUUGUCCGGAAUUAUUGGGCGUAAAGAGCUCGUAGGCGGUCUGUCGCGUCUGCUGUGAAAACCUAGGGCUUAACUCUGGGCGUGCAGUGGGUACGGGCAGGCUAGAGUGCGGUAGGGGAGACUGGAAUUCCUGGUGUAGCGGUGAAAUGCGCAGAUAUCAGGAGGAACACCGGUGGCGAAGGCGGGUCUCUGGGCCGUAACUGACGCUGAUGCACGAAAGCUAGGGGAGCAAACAGG
rnacentral:rRNA from 1 species